rnacentral:lncRNA from 10 species
GGCUUGGCCCUUUCUACAAAGCUGAGUUGCUGGGUGAAUCCUGGUUACAACUCACAACUGAGUCAAGAAGCCAAAACCAAAUUGCCAGGCCCAGGAAGCAAUCAGAACAUGAGGUGAGGUUACAAUUCUGAAAACAGAUACUCAAAGCCUGGGCAGGGGAGGGAAAUCAAUGGAGAAGGUAGAAAUACACUCUGAAAGGCAAGGGACUGAGAACGCUGGGUCUAGUCAGAAGGGGAGAUGAUAUGAUUUGGCUGUGUCCCCAGCCAAAUCUCAUCUUGAAUUGUAGUUCCCAUUAUCCCCACUUGUUGUGGGAGGGACCCAGGGGGAGGUUAUUAAAUCACGGGGGCAGGUUUUUCCCCAUGCUAUUCUUGUGAUAGUGAAUACAUUUCAUGAGAUCUGAUUGUUUUAUAAAGGGCAGUUCCCCUGCAAAUGCCCUCUUGCCUGCUGCCAUGUAAGACAUGCCUUUUGCUCCACCUUCACCUUCUGCCAUGAUUAUGAAGCCUUCCCAGUCAUGUGGAACUGUGAGUCCAUUAAACCUCUUUUCCUUUAUAAAUUACCCAGUCUUGGGUAUUUAUUAUAGCAGUGUAAGAACAGACUAAACAAGAGAGAAAGCACCCCAGGGUUUACUGUCAUCACUGGGGUGAUGAGUAGGGAGCAAAAGUGGAGAAGUGACAACUUGAGUUUGCCUUACAGGAAAAAGCAAAGAUAUCACUGGAAAAACAGAACACACCCAUCGACAAGAUGGCGGAGGGAUUUCAAGACCCCAGUUGGAGCCAAAGUUGGUGAAGGACAAGGAGACCCAGGCGUGUGCAUAGUACCACAAUUUCGCUGGAGGGAAAUUUUUCAAGAACGUGAAGCACUGUAGUACAAAAGCCUGCCUAGGGACACCAGCACCUAACCCAAUAUGCUUUAACAAAUGAGUAAAGGAAGAAUGCCAAGAUUUCCAGCCUGCAAAGCUUCGCCUCUGGGGAAUCUAUGGCCUUCUUGCAAGGGAUCUUCUAGUUUAUAAGCUCACCAACAUAAUUUGAGAUCCAGUGAAAAUGCUAUUUUCACCAUAUGUAUAUGCCACCAUUUUCAAGUGUAUGUAGAUUGGUUGUGACUAAUAAAAUACAAUAAACAAAUUAUAAAUUUAUCAUUUGUAUAUGUAUUAAUAAAAU